UGUUGACUGGUUGUUGAGAGGAAGACGGAUGAGGACAAGGAAGGAGGUGGAGGAGUGGUAGUAUCGAGUCAAUCUUACGGGUUUUGGAAUUGAGAUCAUCGAGCCCCGUCAGGCUGAACAGAUCCGCCCCCUGACUGCGACACGAAGCCAGAGCAUCCUGCCAGGUCACAGCGGCACUGGUUACAAACUCGUAACAGAAUUCCCCUUCUGGCCCGGCAAACAGAGUCUGACAACCCUCCUCUGUAAAGUCAGAGAGACAGAUCGGGGGAGGUGGAGCACCAGGACAAUCCAGGGGAAUCUGCAUCGGGGAGGCAGCCAUGAUGCCAACUGCCGUUGAAUUUGAAGGGGAAGUCACAGGGAUCACCAGCGGAGUUUCCGUUGAUGGUGUGGACGACUGCACGGAGAGGAGAAGUGAGAAAGGAGCAGCCUCAGAUUUCUGAUAAAAGCAUCUUUCCAAGGAAAAAACAAGUCUCACUACCGACACCAAGCAUUUCAAGAUGCUCAAACACACAUCGAAUAGUUAAGGCUCCAGAAAUGAAAGCAAAACUAUCUCAGACGAACAGAAAGGGUUUUUUAGGGGAAUCAUUUGUAUACAAGUCGUCAAUAACACACAAAGACAGAUUAACUUGGCGGACAUGUGCACUCUAGUGAGUGUCUUUCUAGUUCAAUGUUUCACUUCUGCAGACGUUAAUGAAGAACGAUGACUCUACAGGCGUCUUGCGAUAAACUUGUAUCACACCCUAGAAUGAGAGUGUAAAAGGAGAAAUUAGACUGUAUAAUAAGGAAGUAGUGACAGAAUUAAACUCAUCUUGGUGCAGAAUAUAAAUAAAAUAAGUUUGUUGCGUCAAAACAGAAAGAGACACAAGAGAAAUAAAAUACCUUAUUGUGGACAAACUCAUUUGUUUUCAAAUUUUAGAUUUGCAUCUUGAUACCAGUCUAGGUCCUUUACAUUUAUUUAAGUAUGCGUUAUUUGAAGAAAGCAUAUAAAACAUCACAUAAAUGAGUGUUAAAAACCUAGAAUCCCUUCAUAUUGUGAUCAAACAGUGGUGUUAACAGAAAUCCUCUUUUCAUAUUUCAGCAAAAUUCCAAUUGAACUGACAAAGAGUUCAGAUGAGAACGAUUUGAAGAAUAAUAAGUCACACCUAAUGCCACUGUACAUCUUACAAAUCAUAAAUUCAAAAGCCACACUUUCCUUGUCUAUUCUUAUAUAGUUGACUGCAAUAUACAGAGAGCAUAAUGAAUAAUGCUAAUAAUUCAACAUAGCUUUCAGGGUGCCAUUUUACCCAUGAAGUGAAAGUGAAAGUCAGCCUCAUGCUCCACUGCACCACAGAGUCCUGCUGCAUAUCUCUGCUCUGCACCUGAGAUCUCUGUGGAAUUCCCCCAAAUCUCCACAACACACACGAUGCUGCCUCCCGGCAUCACAGGGUAAAUAGCUACUGACCAAACUAACUGACCACGAUGGGAAGGGUUAGGAUUCACCAGGACACUAGGAUCGACACAGUUGGUGUGGGUAAACCUUUUAGGGAGCUAACAGUGCGUUAGAUUGUGUCAACUCCUCCUGGUGUGCACUGGAUUUUUGUAUUGAUUUUAUAUUUCUUAUUGUAAUUGAUCCUGCACCAGCUGACACCCAGGAAAACGACUGCUGUGCACUUUAACUUCCUGGGCGACAGUAAGGCAGCUCAAAAUGCACCUGAACCUGUUUGGUCAUGUGACACAAAAGCCAACACUUGUAUUUACAAGACUGUAACACAAAGGUGGAGUCAAUGCGCAUGAGAUUCAGGAGGAAAAUCCUCUGGUAAAAUGUAAUGUGUUCUAGUUUAAUGUGUGAGUUUAACUUUCAAUCCUCCACUGGUCAUUUCCGUAAGCAUGAGUCAGUCUUUAGAGCAACAUAAUGGUUUCCUCGAGCGUGGACUUUGUGCUGUGCUGGGAUCAGUGUGUAAGCUUUUGUCUCUCAAGAGAAAGGAAACCACACUCACCACGGUACGGCCUCUGGCAGAUGUCGUCCUGCGACCCUCCUCUCACCCAAGAAUCAUUCGUGUCCCGUUUGGGUGCAACUUGGCCGUCGAUCACCGCCAGGCCCAUCUGAUAGACGGUGUACACAGCCCCGUCCAGACAG